UACGUAGGGGGCAAGCGUUGUCCGGAAUCAUUGGGCGUAAAGAGCGUGUAGGCGGCCCGAUAAGUCCGCCGUGAAAGUCCAGGGCUCAACCCUGGAAUGCCGGUGGAAACUGUCGGGCUGGAGUCCGGAAGAGGCGAGUGGAAUUCCUGGUGUAGCGGUGAAAUGCGCAGAUAUCAGGAGGAACACCAAUGGCGAAGGCAGCUCGCUGGGACGGUACUGACGCUGAGACGCGAAAAGCGUGGGGAGCAAACAGGAUUAGAACUACCGUAG
rnacentral:rRNA from 1 species